rnacentral:tRNA from 1 species
GCCUGGGUGGCUCAGUCAGUUAAGUGUCUGACUUCAGCUCAGGUCAUGACCUCAUGGGUUGUGAGUUCAAGCCCCACCUCGGGCU